GCUCAGUGCUGUCUUUCCGUCUCUCUGUUCUGCCCUCUCCAGAUCAACUUCAUCCUCUGGCUGGAGGAGGAAGGACUGAGGCAGCUUCUGGCAUCACAUCCGGAUGUGACAAUGUCCAGGGGAAGAGGAGGGACCAUGUCGUCCUAGAGCAAGGAAACCUUUCUCAGAAGACCCAGGCUUCCCUCCAUGCCUCAUUGGCUGAAAUCAGGUUUUCAUCACAAGUGUUGCAGAGCGAAGGCAGAGUUGGUCUGAAGGAUCAAGGACAGUUAGCCACCCAAGUAUCCCAGCACCCAAUGCUGCACGGAAUCCCUGAGACCUGUUGAUCCCUCACUACCCAGGUCAGGAUGCCUGUUCCCAGCACCCUGCUGAGCCAUCUUACUCAACUCUGAAGAGUUUCUGGGCAAUCUGAGACAGCGUCCAUGCAGUGAGCAAGUUCUCUGCUCUGCCAUGAGCAGAGCGCGAUCUAUGAGGCCUUGGGCAAAUGAUAUCACCUCUCAGAGCCUCAGUUUUCUUAUCAGUAAAAUGGGACAAUAAAUCUCUGUUUCCUGG